GGAAGUAUAGUUCAAUGGUAGAACGAUUGCCUUUUAAGCAAUGUAUGAUAGUUCGAUUCUAUCUACUUCUA
rnacentral:tRNA from 1 species